rnacentral:lncRNA from 1 species
UAGAUAGGAAAUAUUAAAAAAAUAAAAAUAGAUAAAAUAAAAAAAAAUUAAAAAGUAAAAAAAAUAUGUAUUAUAAAAAUACCAUAGAAUCAAUAUCAAUUCUUGGUUAAGUCUGUGUCUAAUUACAAGUUGGUGUUGUCCUAUCCAAUCUUGUUGGCUGAUGUGGAGUUAAAAAAAUAUUAUACGUUGUCUAGAUUUUACAAAACUAUGAUAGCCAACUAACACAUACUGCUUAUCCAAAGUUCCCG